AGGAACACCGAUGGCGAAAGCAGGUCUCUGGGCUGUAACUGACGCUGAGGAGCGAAAGCAUGGGGAGCGAACAGGAUUAGAUACCCUGGAUAGUCCAUGCCGGUAAACGUUGGGCACUAGGUGUGGGGACCAUUCCACGGUUUCCGCGCCGCAGCUAACGCAUUAAGUGCCCCGCCUGGGGAGUACGGCCGCAAGGCUAAAACUCAAAGGAAUUGACGGGGGCCCGCACAAGCGGCGGAGCAUGCGGAUUAAUUCGAUGCAACGCGAAGAACCUUACCAAGGCUUGACAUGUUCUCGAUCGCCGUAGAGAUACGGUUUCCCCUUUGGGGCGGGUUCACAGGUGGUGCAUGGUUGUCGUCAGCUCGUGUCGUGAGAUGUUGGGUUAAGUCCCGCAACGAGCGCAACCCUCGUUCCAUGUUGCCAGCACGUAAUGGUGGGGACUCAUGGGAGACUGCCGGGGUCAACUCGGAGGAAGGUGAGGACGACGUCAAAUCAUCAUGCCCCUUAUGUCUUGGGCUUCACGCAUGCUACAAUGGCCGGUACAAUGGGUUGCGAUACUGUGAGGUGGAGCUAAUCCCAAAAAGCCGGUCUCAGUUCGGAUUGGGGUCUGCAACUCGACCCCAUGAAGUCGGAGUCGCUAG
rnacentral:rRNA from 1 species